rnacentral:rRNA from 1 species
GACAGAGGCCUCGAGCGUUAGGCGGAAUCACUGGGCUUAAAGCGUGUGUAGGCGGAUCGUUAAGUGUCUUGUGAAAUCCCUCGGCUUAACCGGGGAACUGCGUCUGAUACUGGAUGGCUUGAGUUUGGGAGAGGGACGCGGAAUUCCAGGUGUAGCGGUGAAAUGCGUAGAUAUCUGGAGGAACACCGGUGGCGAAGGCGGCAUCCUGGACCGAGAUUGACGCUGAGGCGCGAAAGCCAGGGGAGCAAACGGG